GAUGAACGCUGGCGGCGUGCCUAAUACAUGCAAGUCGAGCGAACAGACGAGGAGCUUGCUGCUCUGACGUUAGCGGCGGACGGGUGAGUAACACGUGGAUAACCUACCUAUAAGACUGGGAUAACUUCGGGAAACCGGAGCUAAUACCGGAUAAUAUUUUGAACCGCAUGGUUCAAUAGUGAAAGACGGUUUUGCUGUCACUUAUAGAUGGAUCCGCGCUGCAUUAGCUAGUUGGUAGGGUAACGGCUUACCAAGGCAACGAUGCAUAGCCGACGUGAGGGGGGGUAGCCCCCCUGGGAACGUGAACCACGACCCUGCGCCUGAGGGAAGGCGCAGAUGGGAACGUUGCGCAACUGGGGGAAACCUUGCCGAAUCAACGCAGGGUGGAUGAAGAAGUCCUGCGAUCGGGAAAACGGUUUUAGGGGGGAAAACCAAUUUUGCAGGUAACGAUGCCCGCUUGACGGUAACUGAUCAAGAAGCCCCGGCUAACUACGUG
rnacentral:rRNA from 1 species